AUUGAACGCUGGCGGAAUGCUUUACACAUGCAAGUCGAACGGCAGCACGGACUUCGGUCUGGUGGCGAGUGGCGAACGGGUGAGUAAUACAUCGGAACGUGCCCAGUCGUGGGGGAUAACGUAGCGAAAGCUACGCUAAUACCGCAUACGAUCUAAGGAUGAAAGCGGGGGAUCGCAAGACCUCGCGCGAUUGGAGCGGCCGAUGGCAGAUUAGGUAGUUGGUAGGGUAAAGGCCUACCAAGCCGACGAUCUGUAGCUGGUCUGAGAGGAUGAUCAGCCACGCUGGGACUGAGACACGGCCCAGACUCCUACGGGAGGCAGCAGUGGGGAAUGUUGGACAAUGGGGGCAACCCUGAUCCAGCAAUGCCGCGCGAGUGAAGAAGGCCCUCGGGUUGUAAAGCUCUUUUGUCAGGGAAGAAAAGGCUGUGGCUAAUAUCCACAGCUGCUGACGGUACCUGAAGAAUAAGCACCGGCUAACUACGUGCCAGCAGCCGCGGUAA
rnacentral:rRNA from 1 species